GUCUACGGCCAUGCUACCCUGAACAAACCCAAUCCCGUCUGAUCUCGGAAGCUAAGCAGGGGUGGGCCUGGUUAGUGCUUGGAUGGGAGACCACCUGGGAAGACCAGGUGCUGUAGGCG
rnacentral:rRNA from 1 species